UAAUACGAGGGGUGCGAGCGUUAUUCGGAAUUAUUGGGCGUACAGGGCGCGUAGACGGCAUGUUAAGUCAACUGUUAAAUUCCCCGGCCUAACUGGGGGCAAGCAGUAGAUACUGGCGAGCUAGAGGAUGGAAGAGAGAAGUGGAAUUCUCGGAGUAGCGGUAAAAUGCGUAGAUCUCGAGAGGAACACCGAUGGCGAAGGCAGCUUCUUGGUCCACUCCUGACGUUGAGGCGCGAAAGCGUGGGGAGCAAACAGGAUUAGAUACCCUGGUAGUCCACGCCGUAAACGAUGAUCACUAGACGUUAGUCUCCUUUAAGGAGAUUAGUGUCGUAGCUAACGCGUUAAGUGAUUCGCCUGGGGACUACGGUCGCAAGACUA
rnacentral:rRNA from 1 species